rnacentral:rRNA from 1 species
AGAGUUUGAUCCUGGCUCAGGAUGAACGCUGGCGGCGUGCUUAACACAUGCAAGUUGAACGGAGCGCCGGACACGGACUAUUUCGGUAGGAAGCGUGCGGAGGCUUAGUGGCGGACGGGUGAGUAACGCGUGGAUAACCUGCCGCAUACCGGGGGAUAACAGCUGGAAACAGCUGCUAAUACCGCAUAUGCCCGCAGUGCCGCAUGGCACAGCGGGGAAAACUCCGGUGGUAUGCGAUGGGUCCGCGUCUGAUUAGGCAGUUGGCGGGGUAACGGCCCACCAAACCGACGAUCAGUAGCCGGCCUGAGAGGGCGGACGGCCACACUGGGACUGAGACACGGCCCAGACUCCUGCGGGAGGCAGCAGUGGGGAAUAUUGCACAAUGGGGGAAACCCUGAUGCAGCGACGCCGCGUGAAGGAAGAAGUAUCUCGGUAUGUAAACUUCUAUCAGCAGGGAAGAAAACAGACGGUACCUGACUAAGAAGCCCCGGCUAACUACGUGCCAGCAGCCGCGGUAAUACGUAGGGGGCAAGCGUUAUCCGGAUUUACUGGGUGUAAAGGGGGCGCAGACGGCCAUGGCAAGCCCGGUGUGAAAGGCAGGGGCAUAACCCCUGGACUGCACUGGGAACUGUCAGGCUGGAGUGCCGGAGGGGUAAGCGGAAUUCCUGGUGUAGCGGUGAAAUGCGUAGAUAUCAGGAGGAACACCGGCGGCGAAGGCGGCUUACUGGACGGCAACUGACGUUGAGGCCCGAAAGCGUGGGGAGCGAACAGGAUUAGAUACCCUGGUAGUCCACGCCGUAAACGAUGUUAUACCAGGUGUCGGAAUAUCAGGGAUAUC